rnacentral:rRNA from 1 species
AGGUAGCUUAACCUUCGGGAGGGCGCUUACCACUUUGUGAUUCAUGACUGGGGUGAAGUCGUAACAAGGUAACCGUAGGGGAACCUGCGGUUGGAUCACCUCCUUACCUGAAGAUA